rnacentral:rRNA from 1 species
UACGUAGGGUGCGAGCGUUGUCCGGAAUUAUUGGGCGUAAAGGGCUCGUAGGCGGUUUGUCGCGUCGGGAGUGAAAACUCAGGGCUUAACCCUGAGCCUGCAGUGGGUACGGGCAGACUAGAGUGUGGUAGGGGAGAUCGGAAUUCCUGGUGUAGCGGUGGAAUGCGCAGAUAUCAGGAGGAACACCGGUGGCGAAGGCGGAUCUCUGGGCCAUAACUGACGCUGAGGAGCGAAAGCAUGGGGAGCGAACAGG